rnacentral:snoRNA from 1 species
UUUUAUGAUGAGAAGUUCAAUACUAUUUUCAGUUAUCCCUGGCUUAAUCAUGCUGUGUUGACUACUUUGACUCUGAAUUU